rnacentral:rRNA from 1 species
AUGUUGUGGCUAGCGCUGCCCGGACUACUGGACGGCCGGCUACUGCGCUGCCUCUACUACUUUCUACUACUAUGCUGCCUCUACUGGUCUCGAAGCAGCACAGGUGACAUGGGAGAACUAAAUCCAACUGGACUGUUCUCAACUCCUCUUGAACUAGUGCCUCUAGCAGAUCCAAGAAAAGGUAUGCAUCCAGCAGGAGAAGCUGGACUGCUACUUGAGCCUGCUCCAAAUGCUCCCGAAGGGUACUGCCCCAUGUUACCUUGGUUGUUUCGGCUCUGUGCAUCUGAAGGUGAGAAGGAGGAGUUCAUCAUGCUUGUGAAGCUUUGA